AGGCAACGCUAGCAGGCCAGGUUGGGGUCAGGAGCCUGCUCCAGACCGAGACAGCCUGGGAGACUCAUCCGGUCGACCACCGAAAACCUCAGUGGUGCGGUUCUCCUGUCCUCGCCCUAGGUAUCAAAAGAAGAUUUAAAAAUGGGCCUGAAUGUGCUGUGAACUGAAUGAGAGCAGCCCCAGGCUCCCAUGUCUGAAUGCCUAGUUCCCAGUCAGUGGAGCUGUCUGGGAAGGACUGGAAGGUGGAGCCUUGUGAGAGGACAUGUGCCUCAUGGUUAUGGAGCAAGAUAGCCAGGAAUUUUUGGUACCACUUCUCAUGUUGCUGCACUUCAUCCGGUGUUCUCCCGGGAAGGUGUUCC